rnacentral:rRNA from 1 species
GGAUGCAAUCAUACCAGCACUAAAGCACCGGAUCCCAUCAGAACUCUGAAGUUAAGCGUGCUUGGGCGAGAGUAGUACUAGGAUGGGUGACCUCCUGGGAAGUCCUUGUGUUGCGUUCC